CAAAAAAGGCACCGGUAUUAUGUAGUGAAGCUCGCACGUCUCUGAACAGUGUAGCAUUUUGGCCACAAGAGCGCGCGCCUGAGCCACAUUAGAGGCGGUGAAGAUGCCAACAAUCUCAUCUCGAGUCCGGAAUAUUUUGGGCAAAAGAAAGCAUUUCAUUCCAAACACAAUCAAGACACACCGGAGGGAGUCUGCGGCUUAGUUUCACAAACAUCUUUCUGUCUUGCACGAUGAUCCCCGGUAAUCCAGAUGUUGGACAUACAGUGGCUUUUUAUUUAAUUUUUCUCUCGUUCCUUCCUGUCAACCUUGCCACCAGCAACUCAAGACAAGGCUCCCAGAAGCAGAAUACUGAGGAAGUAUUCUAUGACAGCCAACUAGGCUGCCCGGGACGUGGACUCCCGACAGGGAACGCAGAUGGCUGUGGGCACAUAGCCACAAACGCAUCGCUGCCUGGUGUAGUGAGG
ensembl:lncRNA